rnacentral:rRNA from 1 species
GAUGAACGCUGGCGGCGUGCCUAAUACAUGCAAGUAGAACGCUGAAGGAAGGAGCUUGCUCUUUCCGGAUGAGUUGCGAACGGGUGAGUAACGCGUAGGUAACCUGCCUGGUAGCGGGGGAUAACUAUUGGAAACGAUAGCUAAUACCGCAUAACAGUAGAUGUUGCAUGAUAUCUACUUAAAAGGUGCAAUUGCACCACUACCAGAUGGACCUGCGUUGUAUUAGCUAGUUGGUGAGGUAACGGCUCACCAAGGCGACGAUACAUAGCCGACCUGAGAGGGUGAUCGGCCACACUGGGACUGAGACACGGCCCAGACUCCUACGGGAGGCAGCAGUAGGGAAUCUUCGGCAAUAGACGGAAGUCUGUCCGAGCAACGCCGCGUGAGUGAAGAAGGUUGUCGGAUCGUAAAGCUCUGUUGUAAGAGAAGAACGAGUGUGAGAGUGGAAAGUUCACACUGUGACGGUAUCUUACCAGAAAGGGACGGCUAACUACGUG